UUAAGGGAGGUCUGACUAAAUCAGGGAGGACCUCGGAUCGACUAGCACUGCAUCCAGGAGAGUAGAAAGUCUCAACAUUGUGUUUAAUUGCUUCAUGCUGCAAAACCUUUCUUUAUUGGGCAUCCUAACUCGGAUGUUUUAGUUAGAUUUAUUGCAGCCUGUUUUUCUCUCGAAAUUCCGGGAAUAGAGUACGGGGCGAUGGUUCAAGACAGGAAAGGAUUGGGACGAGACAAGGACACGUCAGCCCUAGUUCUCCUACGUUGCAUUUUUCAUGUUCGCAUUUGCAUACGCAGUGAUAAGCGCUCGUCGGAGCCUAAGAGAUAGAAAGCCUCUGGUACCCAGGGUAAAGAGGUAUCCAAUAAAUAUGGCUGAGGACAACAUUUAUAUUUCAUUUCAAGCAAUAGAUCCCUUGUUGACGAAGGAGCCAAGAUAACUUUGUUUUUGUCAAACGCGUUAUGCUUGGGACACUCUCAAAGUGUUAAAUUGUUUCUUUCUUUCUAGAGCUUCUUGAAUUCAGUGAAGAUCGCCAUCCUUGGGAGUCAGUGGAAGAGAAGCUUAAUGCGAUCAGAGACAUGAUGCGAAAAAUGGUAAAAGAGAUGAGGGUUGGAAGAGAAUGAAGAGCUGCCAGUCAAGAUGGUUCCAAUACGAUUGUUUUUCUUGUCGAGUAUUUACAAUAACAACAUUGCUUGUUUAACUUCAAAACAGGAAUAAAUGAAAAGUUAUGUGAAACUG